UGCUCAGCUCCCUCCUCCUCGCGCUAUUCUCUCAUCCUCUAUAUCCUGACCACACACGGUAAUCCCCAAAUCACGCCGGCGACAGCUCCGAUUCCAAAGCACAGCGCCGCCCCUUCCUCCGGUGCUCCCAUGGCACGGCUUCUUCCUCAAGCUGCCCGGCGCUGCUUCGCCGGUGGCGCAGCCGCGGGAGUCCUUCGGGCGGGGGUCCAGGCGUUUCUCGAGGAUGCAGCCGGUGUCGGGGAGGAGUCGCGCGGGGUCACGCCGGGGGUAAAGGACCUGGCCCAGUUGGUUCUCGACGAGCCGUGUGCAUAGGGGAGCAGGAUCCGUCUUCUAGCAGAGGAAAAACGAGAAGGAUGUGGAGAGCGAGGUCGCUGCCGGAGCUCUGCCGGAGCGAGGUUGAUUUGGUGUUGCGUUUUGAGUGGGAAGCUAUGUACAGGGAUCUAGAUGAAUAGUCAAGUGGCUAGACAUAAAAGAUUUCAUUUGCCUACUAUGAUGUCCUGUUGAUGACAGAGCUGGUAGCUGCUCACGUGAAGAAUCUCUGCCGCUCACUCUGCCGCUCACAUGGAGGCACUUUUUUUUCUCCGGAAGCAAAUGUCAAUGUACAGGGCCUAGAAGAACCUCGUAUGUGGCGGGAGUGAAACUUCAGCGGUAACUGCUCCGGCUGCGCACGCCAACGACAGCUCCUUCGCCAUGGCUCCCUGUUGGAGCUCGAAUAGAAGCGACAACCCAUAGCGGGAGGCGACCGGGCAGCGGAGGAAGGCCUCAUGCCGUCCUGCGUAGAGGCAGGCAGAGCAGCUCGAGGGCUCGCCAGAGUCCUGGUCGGGGCGGAGCUCGGACAUGGCGAGAGGCAGAGAUGGUCGGAGCCGGACAGCAUGGUGGUGUCGCGCCGUUCCCCGGCGCGCUUCCGCCUGCCGCGCCAAUGGGCUUGGGACGGCGGCGCAUGCGGGCGGCGUCCACGGUGUUAAGAUUCGUGUUUAGUCGCUGGGUGCGAUUCUGCGUUUCUCGGACGGGAAUAUCCUAUUUGCCGCUCGUUGCGUUAAACUGCCGGCGCUUCGCACAGGCGACCGACCGAGCAGCGACGCAACGGGUUCCAGAACUCCCGGUUUUGGGAACCUUCUAGAGGUUCCCAGCUGGUUUUUUCCGGUUUUGGGAACCUUCUAGAAGGUUUCUGAACCGGUUUUUUAUUUUCCUUUCUUUUUCUAUUUCUGUUUUUUUUCUUUUUUUUCAAGUUUAUGUUUUCUCUCUCAAAAAAAUGUUCACGCUUUUACAAAAAUAUCAAAAAUGUUCGUGUUUUCAAAUUUUGUUCAUAAAUUCAAAAAUUGUAUGCAUUUAUCGAAAAUGUUCCAACAAAUAAAAAAUGUUCAAAGUUUAUGUUCGACUUUAUUUUUUCUUACUUCAACUUUUUCACAUAAAUGUUCCAACAAAUUAAAAAUGUUCAAAUUUUAAAAUUUGUUUGUGAUUUCAAAUUUUGGUCAGAAAUUCAGAAAAUGUUCCAUUUCUAAAAUAUUGUUCUAGUUUAAAAAACUGUUCCUAUUUUAAAAAAUUUGUUUGUAAAUUUCAAAAAUGUGGAUGUUUUCAUUUUUUCAGGAGUUUUUAAAUUGUUCAGUUUCAAAUUUUUUUUUACAAUUUCAAAAAAUGUUCAGUGGUUCAAAAUAUGUUCCCGUUUUAAAAAAAUUGUUCGCACAUUUCAAAAAAAUAUGCACAUUUUCGUUUUUGAGGUUCAAAAUUUUUCAGUUUCAAAUUUUGUUCACAAAUUUUAAAAAAUGUUCGGCGUACAAAACAUGUUCCCGCUUUAAAAAAUUGUUCGCAAAUUAAAAAAUGUUUGGGAAUUUCAUAAAUAUGUUCCUGUUUCCAAAUUUUGUUCAAAAUUUCAAAAAUGUUCUGGAAAUGUAAAAACUUAUUCCCAUUUUGCAAAUUUGUUCGCAAAUUCAAAACAUAUUUUCGUUUUGAAAUUUUUUUCACAUAUUCAAAAAAUGUUCAUUUUUGAAAAUUUGUUCACAAAUUCAAAAUGUGUUCGCAUGUUUAAUUUUUGUUCGCAAAUUAUAAAAUAUUUGGUAUUUCAAAAAUGUUCUUGUUGUCCAAAUUUGUUCACAUAUUCUAAAAAAGCUACAGUUUUGAAAUUUUUUUCACAAAUUUUAAAAAUGUUCUUGUUUUCGGAAUUAUGUCACAAAUUCAAAAAAUGCUCGAGUUUUUUGAAAAUAGUUUAGUUUUGAAAACAUUAUCACCUUUUCAGUUUUGUUACUUGUUUUGGAAAAGAUGUUUUGCGUUUACGAAAAGUAGUUCAUAAUUUAGAAAUUAUUCUCGUAUUCAAUUUUUUUCCCUACUUGUUUUUAGUUUCUAUUCAGUUCCCAAAUAAUGUCGCAUUUCAAAAAUAAUAAUCCU